ACGGUGCGGGCUUCCGGCGGAAGCGCUGGAAGCAAGAUGGCGGCCGCCGAGAGGGUUCACAAAGGCUCUGGUCCAUUAGAGGAAGGAGGUCCCAGAAUAGCUGGGAAAUUACGAGAACAGCCUCACUGCACGAGUUGGUGAAUGCUGUGAUGGCGAUUGUAUGAUGGACGGUGAUGUUGAAACCAGACUGGGGAAUGACCGCCCCAUCCGGAGAGAGACGGGGUCUUGCUCUGUCAUCCAGGCUGGAUUGCAGUGUCAUUGAUCAUAGCUCAAGCGGUCUUCCUGCCUCAGCCUCCCAAAGUGCUGUGAUUACAGGUGUGAGCCACUGCACCUGGCCUCUUCAUAUCUUACAACGAAAAGCACCAAGGAUUCUCUUUUGUUGAAUUUGAGUUGGCAGAGGAUGUUGCAGCAGCUGUCAACAACAUGUUUGGUCAGAUGAAGACUGGGUGGAGAAGUUUGCUGGGAAGAGGAUAAAGAGGAAGGUGGUUGAGACUUCCCAAAGCAGAAAGCCAGGAGGUAAGAAUGACAGUUCAUGCUUCCAUAGGAGAGGCUGCUGCUUUCCACAUAGGGAAUUUCUGAGGUGAGUGGUGUUGGGUGAAUUUAAAGGAGAAGUUUUGGCUUUCUUAUCUAGGUGAGAAAUAUCUUAUGUGGGCUCAGGUAUUUGUGAUUGCUGCUGAGCAAGGCGGAUAUCUGAGGUGAGAAAGGAUGGUGAGUACUCUGCAUCACCAGCAUCCGCUAUCCUCCUAGUCUUUGGCAGCAGGCUCACUGUCUUCCUGUUCUUGCCCUAAUUCCAAGGGGGCAGAAUCAUGUAGAGGUCCCUUCCCCUCAGUCAGUACACAGGCACAAGGCUCUCCCUGCCCUCUCCACUUGCUCCUGCUUCUCCAUCAGGCCAUCCUGACUGUUGCUUCCCAGGAUAAUUUAAGGGCUCCUCCUCCUCAGUCCACCCUUUGAGCAGUGAUAUUUCCCUGAAUUCCUUCCUUAGCCCUCAGCACCUCUCUCCACAUUAUCCUUAUGCCAUGUCAGCCCCUUCUAUCUCCUAAGGUUAUAACGAUCUUUCAUUGUCCGAAUGAUAUUCUGAUCUCUAUCCCUAGCCCUGACCUUUCACAUAUUUCUGUUUGGGUGUCUUAUAGGCACCAUAAAUAAAGCAUAUCCCAAAUGGGUUUCAUCACCUUUCUGGUCUUUUUUUAUGCCCAAUCUUAGUUCACUUUGCCAUCUUCAACAUAGUCACACCCAAACCAGAUUCCUUGGUGCCAGCUUAGAUCCCUCACUGUAUUUCAUACCUAAUGCAUUACCAUACCCUGCUAAUUUUAUCUUUUAAAUCUUGCGUUUCUCCUCUCCAGUUUUCUUCUGCCACUGUUGUCUUGGCUGAGGCCUUAUCCUCUCUCCUGUGAAUAAUUGGAGUAGCUUCCUAACUGGUCUCCCUGCCCCAGGCCUGUUUUCCUCCUAUCCUUAGCAGCCAGAGGGAGCUUUCUAAAGGGCAGAUCUGACUAUCUCACUCUCCUUAAGCAUUCUAGGGACUCCCUUGAUUUAUAGGAUUGAGUCCAGCCUCCAUCAAAAGGGACAGAAGACCUCUCUAUGUUCUGAUUCCUGCUUAUGUCUCCAUAUUUUAUCUCCAUUUUAUAUUCUAGGAAACAAGAGUUUGUAGAUACCUGUAAAUCUCUGUUUUGAUGUAAGUCAUUCCUCUGCCUGCAGUGUCCUUUUCCAAUUUAUUUUAUGUGGCUAAUGCCUGCUCAUUUCUCAUAGCGCAGCCCAUUUACUGCCUUCUCCAGGAAGCUUUUCUGAAUCCUCCAGUGAGUAAGGGAGAGCCCACUGCUAAAAAAGGCCUAGUCAAAUCCUCAGGUGUACAUGGACAUCAAGAUUGGGAACAAGCCGGCUGGCUGCAUCCAAACCCUCCUGCGUUCCGACGUCGUGCCCAUGACCACAGAGAAUUUUCUCUACAUGUGCACCCAUUUAAAGGACUCGGCUUCAAGGGAAGCAGCUUCCACCGCAUUAUCCCCCAGUUCAUUUGCCAGGGCAGUGAUUUCACAAACCACGGUGGCACCAGGGGUCUGCGCAGGCAUGGCACUAAGUGUCCCAUGGCACAUUUGGCCCUCAUGGAGGCCUCAAAAGGGCAGGACCAGCACCCUCUUCUACGGAGGAAGGAACGGGCACAGCAGACUUGCGGAUCCUGCUCCCCUUCCCACUUCUGCACUUGGGGGUCUAAUGAGGCCUCAGUGGAACAUAGAAUUCCUCCCGCCCUGACAUCAUAGCUCCCGCCUGGGAGGCCUCCUGGAUGACUCCUUUCGCCUCCUCCCUUCCCUGAGAGCAGCCCCUGGCUCAACCUCCACCUCCGUGCUGCCUCGGACCACCUGCCCAGUCGAGCUGCCAUCACCUGCCAGGGUGAGCCACUGCGCCUGAUCAAGGCAUCACCGUUGAACCUCCUAAGAGGAAAACAUAAGGCUGUGCAAUACCAGGAACUGGGAUUCUAGGUUGCCCCAGACACCAAGGCAUCAAAAGCCAGGGGAUCCAGAGAAAACACAGACAGCCAAGAGAGAAACUGCGGGAAAAAGCCAAAAGGUUGAGAGCCACACCAUCUAGAAGCUUCCUGCCUGUGGUGCGGCACAGAAACAAGGAGAGUCAGCAAUUACCAGCCAGCCAAGGUCCUGGAAGCUGACGUAGAGCUCGUGCCGACGGCAGACCUGCCGGCCGUGGGAGCCGCGGACGUCAUCUGCAGGGACAGAAGGGGCAAGGUCUUUUCUGGGGUUCCUGCUGUGUGCAGCUACUAUGGGGUACCAGGGUGGGGGAUGCCCUGAUGAGCACAUUUGUCAAAUAAAUGAAUGACAGGAAACCA